rnacentral:rRNA from 2 species
UGGGGGAUAUUGCGCAAUGGGGGAAACCCUGACGCAGCAACGCCGCGUGAAGGAAGAAGGCCUUCGGGUUGUAAACUUUUGUCUUUGGGGACGAUAAUGACGGUACCCGAGGAGGAAGCCACGGCUAACUACGUGCCAGCAGCCGCGGUAAUACGUAGGUGGCGAGCGUUGUCCGGAUUUACUGGGUGUAAAGGGCGUGUAGGCGGGAUAGCAAGUCAGAUGUGAAAUACCAAGGCUUAACUUUGGGGGUGCAUUUGAAACUGUUAUUCUUGAGUGUCGGAGAGGGAAGCGGAAUUCCUAGUGUAGCGGUGAAAUGCGUAGAGAUUGGGAGGAACACCAGUGGCGAAGGCGGCUUUCUGGACGAUAACUGACGCUGAGGCGCGAAAGCGUGGGUAGCAAACAGG